rnacentral:rRNA from 1 species
UACGGGGGGGGCAAGCGUUGUUCGGAAUUACCGGGCGUAAAGGGCUCGUAGGCGGCCAACUAAGUCAGAUGUGAAAUCCCCAGGCUUAACCUGGGAACUGCAUCUGAUACUGGAUGGCUUGAAUCCGGGAGGGGGAUGCAGAAUUCCAGGUGUAGCGGUGAAAUGCGUAGAUAUCUGGAGGAAUACCGGUGGCGAAGGCGGCAUCCUGGACCGGCAUUGACGCUGAGGAGCGAAAGCUAGGGGAGCAAACGGG